GGGGUGGAACUGCCAGGAUAUGGGUCCGAAAGCCAGGACCAUGUCUGGGUGGAACCAGACUCCCUGCACUCAGCCCAAGGAUGUGGAAAAAGAGUGACAUCUGAAGUCCUAUUCAGCAAGUUCAACAUUUUAUGUUCUUCCUCUGUCCACAUAAGUAUUCUGACCUGGAAAUCCAACAUUUCACAUUGGAUAAUAACCAGAAUGCAGUGCAGCCCUAAACAGACAUCCCUUCCCACACUCUUUUUUUUGUUGUUUGUUUGUUUUGUGCCAAAUUUGUAAGUGCUGUCAGUCACCCUAAAUCAAAGCUUUCAUGCAAAUACGGGUUUGCCAGAAAAAUGUACCUGUGAUGAAUAUUAUCAGGCUGCCUGGGAGCCUGUCCCAGAUGGUCAGAAGGGCUGUUUGAGGGAUCUGGCUGGGGUACAUGAGAGACAGAGGGGUCUUGUCUCUACCUGAAGGAUGUGGCUGAGUGUUCUGGAUGGACAGUGUGUCUGUAUUGUUACUUGGAGUAACUGAGUGGCUGUUCUGGAUGCACAGAUGUGUAAUGUUUUACUUGAGGAAUCUGGGUGGGGGUACAAGAUAAAGUGUUUGUGCUUCAACUUGAGCAAUCUGAGUAGGGGUAUUUAAAGGACAGAAGGGCUAUACUGUUACUUGAGGGAUCUGAGUGGGAAUAGUGAACUAAUAGAGGAGCUGUUCUGUUGCUUGACAGAUCUCGAUGGGGCUGUAUGAUAGAAAAAGGGCACGUGUUGCUUCAUGUAUCUAGGUGGGGAUACAUGAUAGGAAGAGGAGACUUACAUCUGCUUGAGGGACAUGGGUGGGAGUUCACGAUGGACACAGGAGCUGCUGCUUGAGCAAUGUGGAUAAGGGCUCUGCACAGGGAGGGGAGUUGCUCCUUGAGUGAUCCAGGCUGGGAUACUGAAUGGACAGAAAAGAUUUAUUGCUCUAUUGGAGACCUGGUUGACUGUAUUGCAUGGAUAGAGGAGAUCUGUCAUGACCUGUGGUAUCUGGGUCAUGGUGCGGGAUGGAUAGAGGAGCCUUUAGCUAUUUGAGAGAACAGAUUGCCCUGAGAAAUACUGGAUGCCCUGUCCCUGGAUACAUCCAAAGUCAGGCUGGAGGAGCUCUGGUGGAGCUGUGGGGAUCCCUGCUUACUGCAGGGAAGUUGGGCCAGAUGUCCUUUAGGGAUCCUUUUCAACUCAGAAGAUUCUGUAAAAUAGUGGAUAUUGAAAGUCUUUAGAAAAAUAAUAGCUGCACUUAAAACCAAACAGAACCAUCCAACCAUCCAAACAAACAAACAAAUGAAAAAAAACAACACCCAAACACCAAACUACAAACUAAAUCAAAACAAAACAGAAUAAAACUAAGCAAACAUUCACAUGAGGAAAAGUGACUAGAAUCAAACUCCCAAGAUGCAGGAAUAGUCCAAUCAUCAUUCCCUAAUGGACCUGAACUUAAGUGCACACACUGAUACCCACUGACCGUAUACAAAGCUUAAGCCUAUCUUCUUUCAAAUGUUUCCCAACCUGCACGUUAUCUCCUCAGAUGAAGUCAUUUGUAUUAAGAGAAGAAAAAUGCAAGUGUCUGGAGGCCACCUUUAAUAAAGUGUUUGAUGUAGUGCCUUGCAAAAUCUUACCUGGCAAAUGAAUUCCAAUUGCAGUGGUUACAAGCUGAGACACCUGAUGGAAAAUUGGCUUAAGGUGGGUAAAUACUAAGCCAUGAUAAAGUACAGGGGGCCAUGUGAGGAGGGGGGUGUCCAGAAGGUGCCACGGCAAUCGAUGUUUCAGCUGGUUUCGUUUAACAUCUUUAUUAAUGAUAGGGAGGGAGAAGUAAACAACACAUUAAUAAUGUCCUGGGAUGAUACUAAGCAGCACAACUCCAUAGAAAGAAGAGUUGUUUGAUUUUUCUUGUCAAGGUCAAGGUGAAAUGAUUUUUGUUAUCGAGGGGUCGAGGCACAGGCACUGGGAGAGAGGAUUUUGGUGGGGAAAGGUGCUAAGUAGAGGAGCCCAGGCAGGAGGCAUAAGAUGAAUGUUGUGAGAUACUGAGGGAAAGCCCAUUUGGGACAAAUCCCAUGCUCUUUGGGAACCUCUGUUUUGUCCUAGGAAGGGUCUCUAAUAUGCAUGUCCAACAGGCAGUACAAAUCAGCAGCUUCACCUUCACAGCUAAAUGCUUCCCUCAAGACACCAAACUCCUCAAGGAAGUUUUAGGCAAAUGUUUAAUGUUAGAGAUAUUUCCUCUUGACCUCAAAAGUACUGUAUGGAGGAAAAAGAGAGCUCUGCCAGUAAGAGGGGCAGAUAAGUAAGUGUGAAGCGAUCAGCAAGAUCACGGCUGUGGAAAUUGGUGAUUGAUUGAUAUCAGCAAUCACGUUUGAUGUCAUUUGUGGCACCUUUCAAAGAACAGCCCUGAGUGCAAAAAUGUAAUACACACAUAAGCUCAUUGCUUCAGAAGGACUGGUUUUACACAUCUUGAGGAAAUUAUCAGCAAAACUGUUUUGGAGGAACAUGAGGGCAGGUAAAUGAGAUGUUGAAUUUUGAACAAGUGGAGGCAGGGCAGGAAAGAGUUGCAAGAAUGUCUGCGGAGCUGGAAGAAAAAACAGCCUUGCAAUGAGAGGCUUAGAAGUCUGUUCAACUCAUCAAAUAGAAGUUUGAGAUUUAACUGAUUGCAGUGUGUAAGUACCUUCCCAGAAAAUACAAGGUGCGAAAGGCUGUUCAAUCACAUGGAGAAAGGCACACAAGAACCACAGCUGGAAAUUAAGGUCAGACAGAUUCCAGCAACAAUUCAGGCACAGAUUUGUGGCAGAAAAUGUGACCAGACAAUCAGAGAAAACCCCAGAGAUGUGGUAACUUCUGGGACGUGGUGAUUCAUCACAUCUCUGGAACAAGGGUUGUCUUCCUUUCAGAUGGUCUGGUCAAAUCAAUGUGGUUCCUGACAAGAGUGGGGCAUAACAGAUAAACUGUAGGCUUUUUCCAGAAUUGCUUGGCUGAAAAGGGAUGUUUAAAUGCCUUAUGCUCCAUCUUAUUUCCUUUCAUUCCACAACUACUGCUGUAUCUGCUAAGCUUUUUAUUAUAUUCUCUCUACAACCUUAAUUCUGGGAUCUGCAUUACUCUCCAUUUGUCCCGUCUAGAUUCUGUGGGGUAUUUGCGUUUGUGAUGUUUGCCAUUCCAGCAUCUGUAAUUACCUCACAUUCCUGUCUGUCAUUUCAAAGCACAGUCUGUUGCUCCUAAUGCAUUUCCACACCUGUGGUUAAGAUCUAUAUAGAGCAGCUCCUGUUUUAUUCCCAUACCUGCAGGAACCUCUUAUAGAACGAAGCUUACACUGUGCUCCCUUUUAGGAAUAUUUUACUCCUCUCUGUGCUUGUUAAACAUGUUUCUGGUCAUGAAUCUAGCAUCUUUUUCAGCAGCAGAGCUUUGUCUUCUCUUAAGCUGAGGCAACCUGGUAUCAAGAGCAUGGAACACAUCUCCUGAGAGGUAUUCUUGCCAGCUCAAGCCAAAGGUAAAUGCAUCCAGACUUAAAACUGAAAGAGGGGCUCAAAUGGUGCCAGGAAACAGUGGAUAUCAGGUGCUGGGAAUCCAGAAAGAAGGCAAGGCAAUGGGGGUUCCUCUUCCUGUUGUUUUGUUACAAAGGUAAGGCCAAGAAGAAAGGAUCCUGACAUUGCAAUGGGUUAGGGAGAUAGCUGAAUGUGCCACCUGCUUACACACAGGUCUUGUGCAAGUUGAUGUUUGGAUCACAUUGCUUCUGUGGCCUGUGCCUGUGGGAUGGGAAGAAAUGGGCAAGCAUGAUGAAAGGUCUGAAGGAAAGGCCCUAAAGAGAAAUAACGGGGACAUGCCUGCCUGGAAGAAUUUGAAAGGAAACAGAAGAGAUACAUUAGCCUGAGGAAUUGCCUCCUUGGUCAUGGCAUGAGAAUAUGGUUAUGCAAGACUGACACCACAGGCCUGUGAGCUCUAAGAGAAAAGGAAGAAAAAUAGGUUAUCAGAAGAAGUCAACGUGGAUUCACACAGAAGAAGUCAUGGUUGGCCAACCUGGUAGCCUUCUAUGAUGUCAUGACCACCUGAGUAUGUGGGGGAGAGAAAUGGAUGUUGUGUACCUUGACUUCAGCAAGGUGUUUGACACUGUCCCCACAACGGUGAUGUGAGUAAGCUUAGGAGGUGUGGGACAGACAAAUACUAGAUUGAUAACUGGAUGACUGGCAGAGCUCUGAGGAAUGUGAGGGUGACAGAGCACUGGAACAGGUUGCCCAGAGAGAAUGUGGAGUCUCCUUCUCUGGAGAUGUUCAAAACUCACCUGGACACUUUUCUGUGCGAUCUACCAUAGGAAACCUGCAUUAGUAGAGGGUGUGGUUGGAAGAUCUCUAAAGGUCUUCCAAUUUUCUGUGAUUCCAUAAAUGUCCUGUGGAGGAAUUGGCUUCUUGGAGCCAUGCCAAAUUUGAGUUAUCUCAGCACUGCCAUCAUCCACACACAUCUAUGCUCUUGGUUGCUCUGUAUACCUCUAGGACCCCAAGGAUCUCUCCCUGCACAGAUUGGUGUCUUAUUCCACAUAAUGCUCCUCCAGUGUGAUUACCCCUGGAUAGCUUUCAUCUCAGCUGCUCAGAUGCCGUUAGUGAUGGAGACAGACAAGAAGGAGAGGGUUCCCCAAAGACCCCAGGACCCCUUACACACUGAUGUCUUCACCAGUGCCUCUGCACCAUGGUGGGUACCAAGGACAGGAUGUCACAGCUAAUUAGAUCACGACCGAGGUAAUAAAAUCAUGUCCAGCCCUGCUGGAUCUCCAAGUUCUGCUGUGCCCUCCUGGUCCCUCUGUUUUCCCUACCAGGUUUCUCCUGCAAGAUGUUGGCUUCAUGUCUUUCCUUUGUCAUUCAUCACCCGCUAAGGCAGCCUUUUGGACUGUUUUGGCCAGAGGUGACCAUGCCUCCAGUGUAGACCUGGGGACUGCCAUCUGGCUAUUGCUACCACCAUUUUGCCAGCAGGCUGAAGUUAUUUGGCAAAAUUGAUGAAAAUAUCAGAAGUACCUCCAUCAGCUAAAGCUGUAUUUUUGGAAGGAAAAGAAGAAGAAGUUUCAAAAGAAAAAAGUCAUCUACUUCAACUCAGAAUGGAGGCAAUUUUGGCAUUGUGUAAGAGACUCCAGGAGACAUGCAUUCUCCUAAAUAAGAAAGGAAGGAUCAAAGUUACAGAGACACAGAUCAGCUUCCCUUUCUUUUUUUCCUUCUUUCUUUAAUAUUUGAGAACUAGAGUUGUCUGGGACUUCUUCAAGCUGAAGACUAAUUGAGGACAAGGAGCUGUAACCCUGUAGAGCUGAAAGCUCUCUGCCCCAACCAGUGAAUUAGGACUCGGUGUAACACUGAAGGUAUGACUGAGGAGAGGUAAGACAGGAGUCCAGCCACUCUAAAACGCAUCAUGCACAAGUUGUCUGGGAACAGAUCUUCUGCCUUUUCC